AGAUACAUCUAUACAGUGAAGUGAUAAUCUACACCAGGUUUGUGGAACAAGCACUUAAUACUUGGCAGCAAGCAGCCAAAGGCUUGAUGCACAAGCAAGAGAAUGUAGGCGGCCCAUUGUAGCUGAGGGUCGCAGGCAGCCAGAAAGCUCUGCGGCCUUCUUCCCCAGCCCGGCAUUCCAGUGUGGGAAAGGAGUCAGUCAUCGGAUUGUUCCCACAUCUGCAAGAUAUUGAUGGGGAGCGAGGGAGGUCUGCCACUUCUUAGCUGAGUAAACUCAGAAAACUUCCUUCCUUCCUGAGCCCUGCUUUCCUCAGCUGUGAAAUCUGAAUCAUAACACCAACCUCUCAAGAUUCUCUGAGAAUUAAAUGAAAAUAUUGUGUGCUCCAUGGACUAGGUAUUCUUUGCAAAUCUGAAGGAAGCACAUUCAGCCAUUUCACUUCAAGCCAGGGCUGGAAAGUUGCCCCACUGGAGAAGGUGCUGGUGUCCGAGUGUGAGAACGUGGCGGACUUCCCUCUGGAAGUGCCUCUGGUGGGCCAUGUCCAUAAGGCCCCUAUGGGUUUUUUGUUUUUGUUUUAUUGUCACUUAAACAUCUCAUUCUCCCUCUCUGUUUUCCAUAAUAUAAUCUGUGGGGAGCGGCUUGGUUAAUUCAGGACUUCA
rnacentral:lncRNA from 1 species